rnacentral:rRNA from 1 species
UACGUAGGGCGCAAGCGUUGUCCGGAAUUAUUGGGCGUAAAGAGCUCGUAGGCGGUCUGUCGCGUCGGAUGUGAAAGCCCGGGGCUUAACCCCGGGUCUGCAUUCGAUACGGGCAGACUAGAGUGUGGUAGGGGAGAUCGGAAUUCCUGGUGUAGCGGUGAAAUGCGCAGAUAUCAGGAGGAACACCGGUGGCGAAGGCGGAUCUCUGGGCCAUUACUGACGCUGAGGAGCGAAAGCGUAGGGAGCGAACAGG